UGUAACACUGUAAGAGUGAGGAUCUGGAUCAGCAUACACUAUACCUAUUUCCCGAUAAGAGGAAGCGAUUAUCGGAACAAGAUCAUCCUAUUAUCGAAUUUAAAGAUCUAUAUUUGACUUGCUCGAGGAUGAACGCGGGGAUGAACGUUUAAAAAAUCGAACUCGUUUCAAGUGGCAGAGGUGUUGCCAACUUCUCUUCGAUCACCAACGGCGAAGCAUUUACGUCAAAGACUGUAUGACGUCACCCAAUGAGCUAGAAUGUCAGCUAAAAACGUUAAAUGUUUAAUAUAUUUUUUUUCUGCAAAUAAAAGUCAUUUGUCUUCGAAGAAAGGAAAGAUCGGUAUUGAAAUGUUUUGCGUUCUAAAACCUUUCCUUUACAGAGAAAACAUAGAGCUGCCCUUUUAUAUUGGUCGUUUUCGAUCUUACUACAAAGCUACGAAGAAUUUCGCAUCAAGGGAACGUUGAAU